AGGUACAUGAGAAUAGAUUGCUAUAAAUAUUUCGGUUGAGGUGUCUACUUUGCUCGCAUCCUAUAUUCUCUUUCUAAUAUGCUCUCUUGUGCAAAUCAGCCCUGAAAUUUCCUGGAAGAAUAAAUCAUGUGAACCUUUUCAUGCUCUGCAAUAGUGAAUUGCCGCCAUGGUUACGACUGGACACCCCUAAUCAUAUUAACUCAUAGCAUAAUGACCCUGGAGAAACUGAGUACCCACAUCUUUCCUACAUGACUUUCAGUGGCCAAAUAUGCGAGGAUAGUGGCCUAUAUUGAUGCCACUUGUGCCAGGGAGGCAGGGAGCAGGUCAGGUGAAUAUUGAGAACACAUGGGCUUUCAUUUCACUGUCAAUAAGAAACGAGCAUAGUACAAGCCGAAUGAUUUUGCGAAAAAAGCAUGUCCGCUUGAGGCUUUUGAAGGGCCGUAGGCCGAUCUUUAUUAAGAUAGAGAGAGCAGUUACAAAGUGGCACCGGUCACCAGGAUGCCCCUGGGGCGAUGUUACAGCAUAGAACAACCCAGCACCAUGAACACACCAAGCCCCUGAGGAACGCUAACACCACACACAACAUCAACCCACUAGAUCACUAGAGCCGAGGUGAAGCAAUCCGCUUGUCUCCAGGUGUGCACCUCCUCGAUGAUCAUGUCAAGAACAGCAGCCGGGUUCAUUGAGACGCCGUCGAAGAUUCUGCAGUUUCGUUCCUUCCACAGGUGCCAAUGCAUCCCAAUAAUUGGGCAUCUGUUACCGUCAAAACUGCGCUGUUAUGCUUAUUUUGGACUUGUGGAUUGCUAUGCUUGGAUAAGGAAACAGAAAACAAGUUCUUGAGUAGUAUAUGGUGUUUGGAUAUUCCAAUGUCAGCAUUGAAAGAAGGGCCAUGUUAUUGGAAAUCUACAGGGCGAUAUAAAUGGUCUGGAACACAGAAUAUAUACUGUUUGGAUAUUCAAACGUCAACAUUGAAAGAAGGGUCAUGUUGUGGAAAUCUAAAGGGUGAUAUGAAUGGUCUGAAACACAGAAUAAAUUCAGCUUCGUAUUCAAUAAACGCUCCAAAAAUAGGAGAAUUGCUCUCACAGCCUGAGGUAGCUCUGAACCCAUGUCUCCUUAACCAUCUCCCCCUCUGUUCUGUAUCCACACUCCACCCAGCGACAUGACUGCUUCCCUUGCAUGUAAUCCUUGAGAGAUGUCGUGGUUUUGUCACGGCAGAUGUUCUAGAGAAAGGAUUUAGUCGUGGAGCCAUCGCUACGGGUU